ensembl:processed_transcript Gas5 growth arrest specific 5
CUUUCGGAGCUGUGCGGCAUUCUGAGCAGGAAUGGCAGUGUGGACCUCUGUGAUGGGACAUCUUGUGGGAUCUCACAGCCAGUUCUGUGGCAAAGGAGGAUGAAGGCUUACGAGGACUCGUCAGGAAGCUGGAUAACAGAGCGAGCGCAAUGUAAGCAAUUUUGUGUGUGCAUGUGGUCCCAUUACAAGGAAUACCCAAUGGCAAAUGAGCACUAAAGAUCCCUCAACCCACACAUUGAAUGUAUUGUUCCCUGAGAGCAAUUGUAGAUAGAGGAGUGGGUGGGAAGUCUGAAGUCAGGGCAUUGUUUCUGCGUAUCUGAGGAGGCUGGUUUUUGAUAUGUGGGAGCUAGUGGUCGUUAACGCAUUUACCCCCUAUUUGGUGGACUCUGGUUCCCCCAUCUUAAGUGCUGAGUCAGGGGCCUAACCGGGCAGCUUUAACUAUUUGUUUGUUGUAGGUGCUAGAAUAGAAGACCAGAAAAUGAAAUGGUGGAGUUUGAGGCUGGAUAGACAGUUUGAAAGGUAAGUAUUGAAAAACACUUGAAUUUGGGUCAGUACAAAGGGACAUGCAGAGACUUUGAAUCAUCAAAACUCCAGCAUGCAUUGUCUUACGGAUGUUUAGAUAGGUGUGUUUUGGACAACACUCUGGGUUCUUGUAAUGAUGUUGAUCAAAUGUCUGAGCUGAAAAUAACUUGUAGACAAUUUUUAACACUGAAGAACCUUGUG